rnacentral:rRNA from 1 species
GAUGGACGCUGGCGGCGUGCCUAAUACAUGCAAGUCGAGCGAACAGACGAGGAGCUUGCUCCUCUGACGUUAGCGGCGGACGGGUGAGUAACACGUGGAUAACCUACCUAUAAGACUGGGAUAACUUCGGGAAACCGGAGCUAAUACCGGAUAACAUGUUGAACCGCAUGGUUCAACAGUGAAAGACGGUCUUGCUGUCACUUAUAGAUGGAUCCGCGCCGCAUUAGCUAGUUGGUAAGGUAACGGCUUACCAAGGCAACGAUGCGUAGCCGACCUGAGAGGGUGAUCGGCCACACUGGAACUGAGACACGGUCCAGACUCCUACGGGAGGCAGCAGUAGGGAAUCUUCCGCAAUGGGCGAAAUCCUGACGGAGCAACGCCGCGUGAGUGAAGAAGGUCUUCGGAUCGUAAAACUCUGUUAUUAGGGAAGAACAAAUGUGUAAGUAACUAUGCACGUCUUGACGGUACCUAAUCAGAAAGCCACGGCUAACUACGUG